GCGUAACGCGUGGGAACCCGCCUUUAGGUUCGGAAUAACUCAGAGAAAUUUGAGCUAAUACCGGAUAAUGUCUUCGGACCAAAGAUUUAUCGCCUUUAGAUGGGCCCGCGUUAGAUUAAAUAGUUGGUGGGGUAAUGGCCUACCAAGUCGACGAUCUAUAGCUGGUCUGAGAGGAUGAUCAGCCACACUGGGACUGAGACACGGCCCAGACUCCUACGGGAGGCAGCAGUGGGGAAUAUUGGACAAUGGGCGAAAGCCUGAUCCAGCAAUGCCGCGUGAGUGAUGAAGGCCUUAGGGUUGUAAAGCUCUUUUACUAGGGAUGAUAAUGACAGUACCUAGAGAAUAAGCUCCGGCUAACUCCGUGCCAGCAGCCGCGGUAAUACGGAGGGAGCUAGCGUUGUUCGGAAUUACUGGGCGUAAAGAGAACGUAGGCGGCUAUCCAAGUCAGGGGUGAAAUCCCGGGGCUCAACCCCGGAACUGCCCUUGAAACUAGGUAGCUAGAAUUCUGGAGAGGUUAGUGGAAUUCCGAGUGUAGAGGUGAAAUUCGUAGAUAUUCGGAAGAACACCAGUGGCGAAGGCGACUGACUGGACAGAUAUUGACGCUGAGGUUCGAAAGCGUGGGGAGCAAACAGGAUUAGAUACCCCGGUAGUCCACGCCGUAAACGAUGAUAACUAGCUGUUCGGGCUCGUAGAGCUUGAGUGGCGCAGCUAACGCAUUAAGUUAUCCGCCUGGGGAGUACGGUCGCAAGAUUAAAACUC
rnacentral:rRNA from 1 species